GAGGAUAUGAGUGGCCCAGCAGAAGAGAUAACAACUAGAUCCAAAGCAAAACAGACACAAAAGAAAAGGGGCUCAAUACCCGGCAUACCACCAGCUGCACAGGAAAAAGUGGCAACAGCAUCUAUGGAUUCAAUGACACAGGCACUGCUCAAAAUAAACCAAUCUUUAGAAGCACUGACAAAGCUAUCUACGGAAAAUUCAAAAAAUUGACAGAACUGACAGCAAGAUUGGACUUGAAUACUGCAAGUGUAACAUCUAAUACAGAAUCUAUUAAUAAACUAAUUCAAGAAAGUUCUGAAACACGAAAGAUUGCUGAAAGUGCAAAAAUACUGCGGAGGAGACAAGGCAGGAGCUUGUGCCGAUUACAAAAAAAGUGAAUGAACAUGAUGCAGCUCUAUCUUUGUUGGAACUACAGAGAAAAGAGAGAAAUUUGAAACUGAGAUUGGUUCCCGAGAGUGAGGGAGACAGCCUUGUGGAUUUUCUUACACAGAACUUUAUGGAAUUCUGGCAAGAGGAGCUGCAGGAAGAAGAACUUGAAAUAACAACAGCUUUCCGGCUCGGCAGGAGGCAGGGUAAGAAGCCAAGGGAUUGUUUGAUCACAUUGAGAUCCAAAGGAGAAAGAGAUAAGAUAUUGAAUUUGCAUUAUCAAAAGGCAUUGGAGAUUGAAAAUAGUCAAGUACAAAUUUUUAAAGAUAUCCCUAAAUAUAUUUUGGAGGUGAGAGCCUUCUAUAAAGAUUUGGUCUACCUGCUGAAGAAAAAUAUCAUACCCUUCAGGUGGGAGUUUCCACAAGGAUUGUCUUUUACUUUCAAAGGAAGGAAGGUUAAAAUAAGAACAGUUCAAGAUAAAGAACAGUUUCUGGAGAGAUAUCAGGAGGACUUGCAGAAAGGAACAGUAGAAACAACAAUACAAGAAAAAGGAGUGACAGACAUUGCAAACUUGUCAUUUGGACUCAUACCAUCAUCUGAAGAGGAACAAAAGCUAGGAGCAGUCGGAGGAACAGGUACUUAAUAACAAAAUGUCUCUGCAACUUCUUAGCUGGAACUGUAAUGGUUUGAACCUUCCCCGAAAAAGACGCCAAGUUUUUCAUAUUUUGAAAAGAGAACAAUUAGAUCUAAUAUGCCUACAAGAGACUCAUGUGACCAGGACACAUCGGAAAUUAUUGGUAAAUAAGAGACUUGGACAAGAAUUUAUUUCAUCAGAUAAAGUUAAGAAAAGAGGCGUGGUGAUCUAUGCAAAAGAAAAAUUGGCUCCAAAGAUGAUAUUUAAAGAUGAACAAGGAAGAUACCUGGCAAUUGAAAUACAAGUUCAAGGAGAAAAAAUUUUGAUAGUUGGAAUCUAUGCACCAAAUGAUGGGAAGGCGGAAUUCUUUAAGAAGUUGCAUGAGACUUUAAUGGACUAUUUAGACUACAGAAUUAUAAUGAUGGGAGACAUGAAUGGCGUAGUUUCCACAAAUAUGGACAAAGCACAGAGACAAGUAAUUUCCAAGGAAGGGAGACUACCAAAGACUUUUUUUGAAAUGACUGAAACUAUGGACUUGAUUGACAUUUGGAGAACAAGGAACCCUCUUGAGAGAGAGGGAACUUUUUCUCUGAAGCAAAAAUGACAUGGACAAGAAUUGACCAAAUUUGGGUAACUAGCAGUAUGGCGCCAAGGAUUAAAAAGGUAGAAAUCUGCUCAAAGACUUGCUCCGACCAUAAUGCUGUAAAGAUGGAGAUGAAACUUACAACAACUGGAUCCUUCAGAUGGAGAAUGAAUGACACCCUAUUCAGAGAUGAAGAGAUUUAUAAGAAGGCCCAAAAACAGUGAAAGAUUAUUUUGAGAUAAAUUUGAGAACAGAAGUGGAAAAAAGAAUAAGUUGGGACGCAAGUAAGGCCGUGAUGCGAGGUUUCCUAAUACAACAGAACUCCAU
rnacentral:lncRNA from 1 species